GAUAAGCCCAAACCGUUAUUGUUUCGGCAGUAGCGGGGUAGUAGGACUGCGACAUUGAUGAAAUAAAUGAAAUGGAACACCUUGGAAAAUGUGAUCACAGAGGGUGAUAAUCCCGUACAUGUAAGUUUAUGAAUCAUAGCAGACUCCUGAGUAAGUCGGGACACGUGUAAUCCUGACCGAAUCCGCCGGGACCAUCCGGCAAGGCUAAAUACUCCUGAGAGACC
rnacentral:rRNA from 1 species